CAGCACUGAAGGAGGAGGAAGAGGAACACAUGGGACAGAUAACAGCAGUGAAGGUGGAGGAAGAGGAACACAUGGGACAGAUAACAGCAGUGAAGGAGGGGGUGAGAAGCUGAGGUGUGACAGAGAGCAGGACACUCCCCCAGAGAAGCCAGCAGAGCAGCCAGCCUCAGACCCGGACCAGAACGUCAACACCACAAUGGGACAGACAACAGAGGACCCACCAACCCAACAGACCCCACCCCCUCCUAACUGCCCCCCUGUCAGCUCCCCUGAUAGCACCUCCUGACAACCCCCACACAUCCACUGAGGACACACAAAAGCCAGAAAUUGUGCUCCUCAUUGAUUCAAAUAGCAAAUACAUUCAAGAGAAUAAACUUUUUCCCAAACACAAAGUGGCUAAACCCUGGUGCCUAAACACUAGGCAUGCCUUGGAGAUGUCAGAGGACAGACUAGGGUCCCCCAGCCACAUUUAUAAUUCACAAAGGCACAAACGACCUGAGGGCCCAGCAGGAAAGGGUGGCCACAGCACUCAAGGGAGUGAUUUAAAAAAGCUUCUUCCACUUUCCCCAACACACAAGUGGUUAUCUCCACCAUGCUACCACGAAAAGACAUUCACCUUGCCAAUACACAGUGGGUGAACGCAAGCAUUUCUCCCUGGACUGUGCCUCAAAACCUAAAGUCUACCUGGCCCACCAUUCCAUCCUGGACUUGAACCCAGGACCCUGAAGGACAUCACCCUCAACCGCAACACCCGGAACCUCACACAGGAGCAACAGACACCCCGCCCAGACCAGCGAGACCCCCUCCCGAAGGACCUGCACUGAGAGAACCCACACCAAGAGGACCUACACCCAGACCACAGCUUCACCAGCCACACCCCAACCAGCUGAGACCACCCCAAACAAACCCUGGCCACACCCUACAUAGGCCCCCCAGAUCAGACCU
rnacentral:lncRNA from 1 species